rfam:Ornithorhynchus anatinus chromosome X1, whole genome shotgun sequence.
CCCCUCUCAGGGUCACAACUGGAGAGUUCCCAUUACUCUACCAGUCUCACCUACAGGAGGGAGAGUCAGGCAGAGGCAUAUCCAUUCAAUUCCUAGCUUGGGCCGUGGCUAGCGAGUGGAAGGCAAUCUGCUACAAAU